GCUCAGGUGGUUCAGGGGUAGAAUAUUUGCCUUCCAUCUCCGGAAAUCUUCUGGCAUAGCAAAUGAUCCGAGUUCGAGUCUCGGCCUGAGCA